GGUGGUCCUCGGGAUUCUGCUGCUUUAGGAUUGGCACAGCUAGAGAAGUCCCCAAGAUGCAGCAAGGAGGUAAAUACAUGAGAGAACAAUGCACCCUUCAGAGUGCCAGAGCCUUGGCAAUGAGUCUGAUAGUCCUAGGAGGUUCUGGAAGAAAGUCUGGACCAUCAUUCGGGAAACCGUCUACUGAGAAAGUCGAGAAGGGGAGGCUUGGGUCAGGUUCAGGGAGAUGUCUGGGUGCCUGUAGAGAACGCUUCCUCCAUUAAACUUCCAUUAAAUGGCAGUGCUUUCAGUCC